rnacentral:rRNA from 1 species
GAUGAACGCUGGCGGCGUGCUUAACACAUGCAAGUCGAACGAAGCACUUUAUUUGAUUUCCUUCGGGACUGAUUAUUUUGUGACUGAGUGGCGGACGGGUGAGUAACGCGUGGGUAACCUGCCUCAUACAGGGGGAUAACGGUUAGAAAUGACUGCUAAUACCGCAUAAGCGCACAGUACCGCAUGGUACAGUGUGAAAAACUCCGGUGGUAUGAGAUGGACCCGCGUCUGAUUAGCUAGUUGGUGGGGUAACGGCCCACCAAGGCGACGAUCAGUAGCCGACCUGAGAGGGUGACCGGCCACAUUGGGACUGAGACACGGCCCAGACUCCUACGGGAGGCAGCAGUGGGGGAUAUUGCACAAUGGAGGAAACUCUGAUGCAGCGACGCCGCGUGAGUGAAGAAGUAUUUCGGUAUGUAAAGCUCGUAUCGGCAGGGAAGAAAAUGACGGUACUGACUAAGAAGCCCCGGNUAACUACGUG